AGGAACGCUGGCAGCGUGCAUAACACAUGCAAGUCGAACGGGAUUAUUAUCUUCGGAUGAUAUGAGAGUGGCGAACGGGUGAGUAACACGUAAGAAUCUACCUUUAGGACGGGGAUAACUUCUGGAAACGGAUGCUAAUACCCGAUAUGCUGUGGAGUGAAAGGAAUUUCGCCUAAAGAUGAUCUUGCGUCUGAUUAGCUAGAUAGUGUGGUAAUGGCGCACUAUGGCGACGAUCAGUAGCUGGUCUGAGAGGAUGGACAGCCACAUUGGAACUGAGACACGGUCCAAACUCCUACGGGAGGCAGCAGUGGGGAAUUUUUCC
rnacentral:rRNA from 1 species